rnacentral:rRNA from 1 species
GACGUAGGGCGCGAGCGUUGUCCGGAAUCAUUGGGCGUAAAGCGCGUGUAGGCGGCUCGAUAAGUCUGCUGUGAAAGUCCAGGGCUCAACCCUGGGAUGCCGGUGGAUACUGUCGGGCUCGAGUCCGGAAGAGGCGAGUGGAAUUCCUGGUGUAGCGGUGAAAUGCGCAGAUAUCAGGAGGAACACCAAUGGCGAAGGCAGCUCGCUGGGACGUGACUGACGCUGAGACGCGAAAGCGUGGGGAGCAAACAGG